GAUGAAGAACGCAGCGAAAUGCGAUAAGUAAUGUGAAUUGCAGAAUUCAGUGAAUCAUCGAAUCUUUGAACGCACAUUGCGCCCGUCAGUAUUCUGGCGGGCAUGCCUGAUCGAGCGUCAUUACGCCCCUCAAGUCCCCUGUGGACUUGGUGUUGGGGAUCGGCGAGGCUGGUUUUCCAGCACAGCCGUCCCUUAAAUUAAUUGGCGGUCUCGCCGUGGCCCUCCUCUGCGCAGUAGUAAAACACUCGCAACAGGAGCCCGGCGCGGUCCACUGCCGUAAAACCCCCCAACUUUUUAUAGUUGACCUCGAAUCAGGUAGGACUACCCGCUGAACUUAAGCAUAUCAAUAAGCGGAGGA
rnacentral:misc_RNA from 1 species